rnacentral:rRNA from 1 species
GUGCAGGCAAACAAAGAUGGCUCGUUGACGGCGGACUAUGGUCAGUGCACUAGGUGGGGCGACGACGACCCAUCGGUGUUCGCGGUGACAAGAGUUUCUGGGCUCCAAGGGUAGUACCAAAUCUGCAACGGCUAUGGGACGGCAAAGGCUACACCAAUUCUCAGGAACCACUAGAGCACAUAUAUAGUGGAAAAUGACUUCAGGUUCAUCUCCAAAAGUGGGCUGACCGCGGUGAGAAUACCAGUGGGAUGGUGGAUUGCUAACGACCCGAGACCUCCUGCACCUUACGUUGGAGGUUCACUUAAAACCUUGGACAAGGCAUUCAAAUGGGCAGAGAAGUACAAACUAAGCGUCAUCAUUGACCUACACGCAGCUCCUGGGUCGCAAAAUGCCUUCGAGCACAGCUCCUCCAAGGACGACUCGUUGGACUGGGGCACCACCGACAAUAACAUCGCACAAACCAUGCAAGUGAUAGAUUUCCUCGCAUCCAGGAACGCCAAAAGCCCAAGCCUCCUUGCAGUUGAGCUAAUGAACGAGCCGUUGGCACCCGGCAUAUCCCUGAAGAACCUGAAAACGUACUAUUGCAAUGGGUACAACGCCGUAAGGAAGCACUCGUCGAAGGCCUACGUGAUCAUGCCCAACCGGCUAUUUUCCCCGGACCCAACGGAGCUCCUCGGGCUCGCUGGCGGGUUACCCGGAUCCGUCAUAGACGUGCAUUACUACGCGUUGUUCAACAACAUAUUUGAUACUUUCACCGUGCAACAGAAUAUUGAUUUCAUCAAGACCAACUAUUCGAGUGAUCUUAGCACUGUCACGAGGCAAGAUGGUCCCCUCACCUUUGUAGGAGAAUGAGUGGCUGAGUGGAAGGUUCACAAUGCAACGAAGCAAGAGUUUCAGAUGUUUGCAAAUGCACAGAUGGAUGUUUAUGGUAAGGCAACGUUUGGAUGGGCCUAUUGGACUCUCAAGAAUGUGAACAACCACUGGAGUAUGGAGUGGAUGAUCAACAAUGGAUACAUCUCCCUGAAAAGCUAG